GGGAGGAGGAGGCUCCAAAUGCACUGCUUUGAAACUGCAAGCAUUCUUCUCCUUGGAUUUCUUUAAGAGCAUCCCAAUCCAUGCAGAUUUCCAAUUGCCUGUUAUUGGACUGCAACUCCCAGGCUGUCCAUCGCCAGGCCUUGAUACAGAAUCGUUUUCCCUUAUGGCUUGAGGUCUCCGACUCCGCCGCUGGUCCCAGUUUGUCUGAAUUAGCGGAAGGGGCUGCGCUCUUAAACUACGCAGAGCAAGACAUGUCCGGACUAGUCCCUGAGCGCUUAUGGACCCGAUUCUGCAGAUGCUGGUUACCAGAGAGAGCAAUGCGUUCAACUGAAAUAAAUAUUUGGCUAAACCGAA